AGUUCAAUGCGAGCUGAGCAGACAGGGCUGCAAGGAAAUCUGGCGCGGUUCAAUACCUCGUCUAGCCUGGGUUCCAGUAUCUAAUUUUUUUUUUGUUUUAACUGACAAACUCAUUUCUCUACUGGGACAGGAUGCUGUGCUGGCUGGAAGUUCCAUUUCUACAGCAAGAAUCCUAUCUGGAAACACAGAAGUUGUCCUCUAGCCACAGCAGCUCGAACUUUUUUGAUUGUCGUUGCUGCUUUCUCCCAUCACCCCCAUCCCCUUUUGACAAAGAUCCAACUGUAAAAAGUCUUACGUAACAGUUCAGGACUACUUCGGUUCUUUUACUGGGUAAGCACUUUCAAUUUUUUUUUUUUAACUAAAAGCCAUUUUAAAAUUGAAUCUGUUGAGGGGCUUGACUAAAAUCUUUUAAG
rnacentral:lncRNA from 1 species